rnacentral:lncRNA from 1 species
AUGCGUACAGAUGGUCCCUCAAGGCGAGUGGGCUGAACUUCUUCCUGGUUCCGAGCGGGGCAGGUAGACAAGAUUAAGACUAGGCCUAGAGGAGAUUUGUUCAUUGGGCCGAAAGAGUUGGGCCGGCCUGAUUGAAGAAUCUGAAUAGAGCCUGGUCUUUGAGCCGGGUGGGCCUGGCCUGGCUCUUGGAGGAGACUUAGAAGCCUUCAGAUUUGUGGGCUGUCCUAAUGGGCCUAGCCUUAGACCGGGACGAAGAAAUCCAGCGGUCAUCAAC